GCCGAGGUAGUUUAGACUGGUUAGAGCGCCACGCUCAUACCGUGGAUGUCAGGGGUUCAAAUCCCCUCCUCGGCA
rnacentral:tRNA from 1 species